rnacentral:lncRNA from 1 species
CCACUGUGGGAUUUGGAUGCCCAGGAAAGUUUGGUGGGGUCCUGGGGCUGGGUUUGCAAUCCCAGCUCUUCCUCCCAAGUCUCUUGACCCCCACGCACACCCCUGUGUCCCCUGCCCCAUUUCAGGUUUCCCCUUUGUCCUGGAUGCUCGGUGGAUUUAAAGAGAAGCUGCCUGUUUAUUUGGAGGACCUUCAAAAACACCUCUGCAGCACUCAGUCUGCUCACGUUGCCCAUCAGUGCUGUGCCCUGCUCAGGUGUCCAUCACUCUAGGUCCCACAGGGACCGCCAUUUGACAUCGUGGCCCCACAGCCACACUGCCACACAGCAGGGCCACCCAUCUUGGGGCAGCACCCAGACCUGGGGGGCAGUGCCACAUGGAGAGAACAGGGACAUUUGUGGGACAGUGGGGACAGGGAGGGCAGGGACGUGUGGGAACCACAGGAAUACAGGGGAUGCGGAUAGCGUGUAGGGGGACACAGGGGACAUGGGGGAGAUGAAACAUGAAGAUGUGCAAGGAUGUAGGGUACAUGGAAGACUCAGGGGAUGAGGGGCAUGUGGGGAGACACAGGGGACAUGGAAGGCAUGGGGGACAUGUGGAAUGUGGGGAGACACAGAGGACACAGUGGAUAUGGGAGGCAUGUGAGCACUGUGAGGGUCACAGAGCACGUGGGGGGACGUGGGAGACCUGAGGACACCAAGAAUGGGGACACAUUGAAGCCACGGGGACCUGGGAGGACCCAGGGACAGGUGAGUGACCCUGGGACAUGCAGGGAGACAUGGAGUGCACAUGAGACAUGAGGUGAUAUAAGGGGAUUCAGAGGACCUGGGGGUGCAGAGGGGGCAUGGGUGGCAAAGGAGGCACCCAGGGACAUGGGGAAACAACAGGAACCCGGGGACACAACAGGAACACGUUGGCUGGGGACACCAAGCAGGAUCUGGGAACCGGGAAUAAGUGUUAACUGGGAGCUUAGGACUGGGAUCUGAGAAGUGGGGACUGGAGCAAGGGAUCGGUUCUGGGUACUGUGGGGUAGGAACUGGGAGCAAGGGAUUAGGAAGGGUUGGUAACUGGGAUCUAGGAACUCAGAAUUGGGAGCUCAGAACAGAGAACACUAAGCUGGGAAUUAGGGAAUAUGAUUACAGUGCUGAGAACUGGGAAUUUGGUGCUGGGAGCUGGGAAAUGGGAAAUGGUGAAAGGGAACUGAGAAUGGGGAGCAGAGGGCUUUGAAAGAGGAGGUAGAAACGGCUGGGAAGUGUGAACUGUUAGCUAGCAAGUGUGAUUUGGGAGCUGGAAACUGGGAGCUCUUGGAGUUGGAAGCUGGGAACAUGGAGAGCUUGGAACUGGGAACUGACCUAAGGGCUGAGAAAGGGGAGCUGUUUGAUGGGAACUGGAAAAUGAGAUGGGAGCUAGGAACUUAAAACUGGCAAUUGGGAUCUCGGAACCACAGUGGUGAGGGAAGAAGAUACGGCAGUGGGAACCCCACGGAGCUGUGCUGCCGCUCCAAUUGCUCAGUGUGCGUUGGGAGGAGCUGCGGCCGCCAUGAGGCCUUCCCUCAGCCUCCUCGGCCCGGGGCCCAACACACCGCAGGGUCUCAGUGCUCCUCACAGCAGCGCCCUCGGUCCCUUCCCCAUUUUUAUAACCCUAUUUUUUUUGUGUGUGUGUUUCGGUACGUAGGCGGAUCAGUCGGACGGAGCUGGAGAUGGGCGCAGUGCGGGGCUCCCCCCGGGCGGUAGGCCCGGAGCAGGCCGCAGGCCCCACACUCGUCGCCACGGCAACGCAUAGCGCGCAGGCGCAGAGUCCCACGGUGGGCCGCACAGCAUCACGGGACAGCAAGUCCGCAGCGCUACAACCCCUCUCAUCCCGCCCACGGAGUAGGACUACAGCUCCCAUAAACCCUCUCGGCGGGAAGAGCACCCCUCCCCUUCCUCUACACCUCUCCCUCCCAUUGGCUCCGCCGCCAUGUCCGGCAGCAGUACGGCGGCGCCCGAUUGGUUGGAAGGCGAACGGGACGAGGCGGCGGCUAUGGCGGACGAGCGGGCGGUGUGAGGGCUCGGCCGCCAUUUUGUGUGUGUGGGGGCUCGCGCCAGGCCUCGCUGCCGCCGCCGCGAGGCUGGUGCCGAGGGCUGCGUGCUGCCCGGCUCACCGCGCUGCCCCGGGGUCACUGCUGCCGGAGUGGGACACGCAGCUGUCCGGGAGGAGCCGAGUCCGCCCCGUGCAGCGCUGCGGGGCUCCAGGUGGAGCAGGAGGCCUCAGCGGGCUGCUGCUUCUCUCCCCGAGCAAUGACUCCUAACGAGUGAGAUCCCAAUUAACUCAGCCCGCUCCUAACGAGUGAGAUCCCAAUUAACUCAGCCCGCUCCAACACAAGGAGCAGCAGCAGAGCCCCCGCAGCCACCCCAGCGCUGCCGCUGCCCGGUGGUGUCAUGGCAGAGGGAAGGGAAAAGGAGACUGCGAGGCUCCUGGGCAGCACCCCUGCGGUACUCUCCUGUCCUUCCCACAGCUGGUGGCAGUGUUUGCCCCGAGCGGAUUUUUUGGCCAAGCCUAUGCUAAAACCUGCCUGGAGCCCCACAGCAGCCCCACGCCAUCUUCCCCUUCCCCGGAGCUGACGUUUGUUAUGAAAUAAACCUGCCCCCGUAGGUACCGAGCAGGCUGCCUCCUCUGCGAGAUGUGUUCCAUAGCGCCCAUCCUGCCCUCGGUUACACAACAGCGGCUCAGCCCCAGCACUGCUUCACCCUUCGCCGUCCCCAUCCCCCCCAAC